rnacentral:snoRNA from 1 species
CCUAUCCAGGACGACGAGUUAAUCUCGUACAUCCUCCACGGUCUCGAUGUCGACUACCAGCCGCUCGUCUCCGCCCUCGACGCCUGCGUCACGCCCGUCACCCUCGACGAGCUCUAUGCCAUGCUGAGUAACUUUGACC